rnacentral:rRNA from 1 species
UUAGGUGCCUAUAUCGGCGGUGUCCACCUCUUCCCAUUCCGAACAGAGAAGUUAAGCCCGCCAGAGCCGAUGGUACUGCAGUAAAAUGUGGGAGAGUAGGUCGGCGCCAAAC